GUAGAUAUAGUUUAUCACAAAACAUUAGACUGUGAAUCUAAAAAUAAGAACCUACAAAUCUUUAUCUACC